GGUUGACCUCGGAUUAG
rnacentral:rRNA from 4 species